rnacentral:ncRNA from 17 species
CAUGGUGGCCGAGUGGUCCAAGGCGCUGGCUUAAGGCGCCAGUCUGUAAAGGCGUGAGUUCGAAUCUCACCCAU